rnacentral:rRNA from 1 species
UACGUAGGGUCCGAGCGUUGUCCGGAAUUAUUGGGCGUAAAGGGCUCGUAGGCGGUUUGUCGCGUCGGGUGUGAAAACCUACAGCUUAACUGUGGGCUUGCUUUCGAUACGGGCAGACUUGAGGCAUGCAGGGGAGAGCGGAAUUCCUGGUGUAGCGGUGAAAUGCGCAGAUAUCAGGAGGAACACCGGUGGCGAAGGCGGUUCUCUGGGCAUGUUCUGACGCUGAGGAGCGAAAGUGUGGGGAGCGAACAGG